UACCACAAACACAGCUUCCUGAACACAGCACUCAAGGUGUGGCCUGGUCCCGCUUCUCAUGAUGACAGUGAUUUUUGGUAAAGUGUCAACAGAACAGUUAGGGUUGAUUUCAGAAGAGAAUUCUGUUUUCUUAGUGUCUUAGAAUUUAAAAAGAAUUGCUAGUUGUGUCUUUGAGAUGAUGGGAUAUUUUAGCAGAUGGAACUCUGAAUGGAAGAGUCUUGUUUUUCAAGACAUCAACUUUGCUCUUUAAAGACAUCAGGAAUGCACAUUGUUAAGUACGUCAUGUUUGGCAUGCCUCAAGUAUGUGUGUAGUUGUUUGUAUCUACUGUGUUCCUUCUAAAUAAAUACUGCAGGAUCCAUGAUGUAGCAUUUUCUUUGCAAAUAUAUUCUUACCAGUUUGAU